AUGGAACAAGAAACUAUUGGUGACGACUAUGUGCGUCUCCCUGAAGACAUUGUGAUUGGUUAUACUGAGGACGAAGAACCUAUUAACAAGCUCACCGAAGAUGUCUUCCCAUCCCUGCACACCAAUGCUAGGUCGAGGGAGUACAUGAGCAAACGUGCAAUUCUCUCGACCAAAAACGAGCAUGUGGAUGACCUAAAUGACAAGAUGAUCUCUAGGUUUCCGGGAGAAGAAAAGAUAAUGCAACCGAUGCGGAGAUUGUUGGUGGCCAGCAUGCUGGAAAGAGGGUGUUCAUACCUAGGAUCCCUAUGUCGCCAUCGGAGGACACCUCACUUC
rnacentral:rRNA from 1 species